ensembl:lncRNA
CCUUGGGGGGUUUCUUUAUUUUUUUACUAUUUUCUACAUUGUAGAAUAAUAGUGAUUACAUCAAACUAUGAAAUAACACAUAUGGAAUCAUGUAGUAACCCAACAAGUGUUAAAUCAAAAUAUAAUUUAUAUUCUUCAAAGUAGUCACCUUUUGCCUUGACAGCUUUGCACACUCUUGGCAUACUCUCAACCAGCUUCAUGAGGUAGUCACCUGGAAUGCGUUUCAAUUAACAGGUGUGCCUUGUUAACUAUUUACAUUGACACCCCCCUCCAUUUGUUUUGUACACUGCUGGUACUUGCUGUUUAUUAUCUAUUCAUAGUCACUUCAAUCCUACCUACAUGUACAAAUUACCUCGACUAACCUGUACCCCAGCACAUUGACUCAGUACCAGUACCCCCUGUAUAUAACCUUGUCUGCUUCCAACUCAACCUCUCAAACACGUAGAUCCCCUGAACGCAGCUCACUCUCCAGAUCCCAAUCACCUGAAUUCUGAUCACCUGUUCACACACCUGUAUGUCAUUAUCACAGACUAUUUAGUUCAGUUCUUUGCAUCCCAUCAUUGUGAGACAUUGUUUGUUUUGUGACACACUUGUAUUCGGAGUGCUGGUUUGACUGUAAUUUAAUCCUCCUGUGUAUGACAGUUUUUUUCCCAGCCUCACUAACGACGCCUAUUCCCUGCCUGUACCUUAGCCUAUUGGAUUUCCUGUUAUCAACCUAUUGCCUGAUCUCCCUGACAACGUUACUAGCCUUUUCCCUGCCUGUACUGUUGCCUUGUUGGACCCCCUGUGUAUGACCUUCUGCCUGCCCCUGGACCCAGCUACCUGCCUCCUCCUGUGGUCCUUUACAAUAAACACCUGCUGCUCGCUGCGCUUGAAACCAGCUCUCAUCGUGUUCAUUACAGUCAGUCAAUCCGGAAAAUGUCCAGAAAUGUGAAAGUUUCUUCAAGUGCAGUCGCAAAAUCCAUCAAGCGCAAUGAUGAAACUGGCUCUCAUGAGGACCGCCACAGGAAAGGAAGACCUAGAGUUACCUCUGCUGCAGAUAAGAUCAUUAGAGUUACCAGCCUCAGAAAUUGCAUCCCAAAUAAAUGCUACAGAGUUCAAGUAACAGACACAUCUCAACAUCAACUGUUCAGAGGAGACUGUGUGAAUCAGGCCUUCAUGGUUGAAUUGCUGCAAAGAAACCACUACUAAAGGAAGUAACUGGAAGUUAUUUUUCGUAGCAUGUUAGGAGAGCAUUUUAGCUAACCCUAACCGUUUUCCUGACCUUAAACUAAUUCUCCUAACCUGCUAUGAAGAAGUUACUUCUGGUCGUAGCUGUAUACCACCUAGUCAACCCACCCCCCCGACUGAGUUACAAAAAAAACACAAUUUGGUUUGGUUGGGGCCCCCUUAUUUCUGAAGUCAGACCUACCCUGAGUACAGCCAUCACACACACCACAGGAGGUUGGUGACGAUUGGUGGGAACUUAAUUGGGGAGUCGGGAAUGUGGUAAUGGCUGGAGUGCCAUUCCAUUCACGCCGUUCCCAACAUUAUUAUGAGUCGUCCUCCCCUCAGCAACAUCCACUGACACACACACACAGGUGAACAUGAACAACUAGCACAUUGCAUUUGAUCGGUGUAUCAUCAGGACGCAAAAGGUUUUUGCUUCACCUUUGGUAUGUUAAAAUUUUGUGGACAAUCUCUUACAUAGGAACCAGAUCAACUGGUUUGGCUCUGUUCAAUGAUCAAUACAUUUCCAUGGCCCCAAGAAAUUCCAUGAUAUUACAGGACAGAAUUAUGGCUGGCCUGCCCUCUCUGGGCCAAAGCAGACAAUGGAAUGACCCCUGGAAGUUCAUAGCAGGUUCAGUGGCUGUUGUUGAGAGGGGUGUGAUAGCACUGAUGGACACCCAUCUCAAAGUGGUUGCAAUAAUGUUUUCUGAAGUAGUGAUGCUGAAGGGAUUGUGAAGGAGCAAUCACAAAGGUGAAGUAGAGAUAGGUUUGAAUUGGUUGUUGCUUGUUUACCU